rnacentral:rRNA from 1 species
UACAGAGGGUGCGAGCGUUAUUCGGAAUUACUGGGCGUAAAGGGCGCGCAGGCGGCUAUCCAAGUCAGGCGUGAAAGCCCCGGGCUUAACCUGGGAGGUGCGUCUGGGACUGGGUGGCUAGAGUUCGGGAGAGGAGAGUGGAAUUCCCAGUGUAGAGGUGAAAUUCGUAGAUAUUGGGAAGAACACCAGUGGCGAAGGCGGCUCUCUGGACCGAGACUGACGCUGAGGCGCGAAAGCGUGGGGAGCAAACAGG